GCUCGGUAGUUUUAUGUGAUAGAACUACUGAUUUAUAUGAUUUUAAAAUUUUUAAAAAUUAUUUUUCACUAUGUGGCUAGAACCCAAUAAUGGUAUCAGAGCCACCCUUAUCUGAUUUGAUCAAACAAGUAAAAUAUAGUAGCAUAGAAUCAUUCUUGUUCAUAUCCUACAAAAAAUGUUGUAUUAUUUUUAGCAUCGAUUCUUUAAACUCAAAAAUUAUUUUUGACUUUUAGUGAACUAUGAUUCUAAAUUUUAGUUAUUAAAUUAUAAAUUUAUAAUAAUUUAAAAUUUUCAU
rnacentral:lncRNA from 1 species